UAAAAUCUGUUUUCCCAGGGUUGACAAUUGUUGAUUUUCUUUGUCCUUCAAAGUAGGUCCAUUGUGUCUGGCUCUUCGUAAAUGAAGUGACUUUGGAGUGGAUUUGGGGCAUUAUGAAUAUUAUCUUGUGCAUGACUCGUUGCACUGUGCACUGCGUAUUACAGAAGAAGAAAGCUGAGGGAAGGACGCUGAACAAGAAUGGUGUAAGAAUCUACAUGUCAUUUUAAAAAGGUCCUGAGAACUGAUGAGACACACAGCAUUAUCAAGGCAUUACCUUGAUAACUACUUCAUUCAGAGAAUAAGGCCAUCAGCAGUUCCAUUGCCAGGUUUACCAGCUCCUUUUUGAUGCUCACUGAUUAGAUUUUGAAUGCAUUUAGAAACAAAAAAACUCUCUGGCACAAAAACAGACACAUAGACCAAUGGAAUAGAAUAGAAACCCCAGAACUAGACCCACAAACGUAUG